GCCCAGUCCAAAUAACACCAACACAUUCACCCCCAAAAGGGAGGAAGGUAAAGAACUGGAAAAUCCACACGAAGUUUUCCUACAAGCAAUUACCAGUUCUAAAUCCCUACUGAUAACAGCAGCAAAAAGAGCUUAAAAACCCAAAUAAAAGGAAACUGUUG